rnacentral:rRNA from 1 species
UGGGGAAUCUUGCACAAUGGAGGAAACUCUGAUGCAGCGACGCCGCGUGAGCGAUGAAGCCCUUCGGGGUGUAAAGCUCUUUCGACGGGAACGAUAAUGACGGUACCCGGAGAAGAAGCUGCGGCUAACUACGUGCCAGCAGCCGCGGUAAUACGUAGGCAGCAAGCGUUGUUCGGAAUUACUGGGCGUAAAGAGUGUGUAGGUGGUGCUCCAAGUCUGUCGUGAAAUCUCCCGGCUUAACUGGGAGGGUGCGGCGGAAACUGGAAUGCUUGAGGAUGGGAGAGGAAAGCGGAAUUCCUGGUGUAGCGGUGAAAUGCGUAGAUAUCAGGAGGAACACCCGUGGUGUAGACAGCUUUCUGGACCAUUUCUGACACUGAGACACGAAAGCGUGGGUAGCAAACAGGAUUAGAUACCCCCGUAGUCC